rnacentral:rRNA from 1 species
AUGGCCUUGUGCCGGCGAUGGUUCAUUCAAAUUUCUGCCCUAUCAACUUUCGAUGGUAGGAUAGUGGCCUACCAUGGUUUCAACGGGUAACGGGGAAUUAGGGUUCUAUUCCGGAGAGGGAGCCUGAGAAACGGCUACCACAUCCAAGGAAGGCAGCAGGCGCGCAAAUUACCCAAUCCCGACACGGGGAGGUAGUGACAAUAAAUACUGAUACAGGGCUCUUUUGAGUCUUGUAAUUGGAAUGAGUACAAUUUAAAUCCCUUAACGAGGAACAAUUGGAGGGCAAGUCUGGUGCCAGCAGCCGCGGUAAUUCCAGCUCCAAUAGCGUAUAUUAAAGUUGUUGCAGUUAAAAAGCUCGUAGUUGAACCUUGGGCCUGGCUGGCCGGUCCGCCUCACCGCGUGCACUGGUCCGGCCGGACCUUUCCUCCUGGGGAGCCGCAUGCCCUUCACUGGGUGUGUCGGGGAACCAGGACUUUUACUUUGAAAAAAUUAGAGUGUUCAAAGCAGGCCUAUGCUCGAAUACAUUAGCAUGGAAUAAUAGAAUAGGACGUGUGGUUCUAUUUUGUUGGUUUCUAGGACCGCCGUAAUGAUUAAUAGGGAUAGUCGGGGGCAUCAGUAUUCAAUUGUCAGAGGUGAAAUUCUUGGAUUUAUUGAAGACUAACUACUGCGAAAGCAUUUGCCAAGGAUGUUUUCAUUAAUCAGUGAACGAAGUUAGGGGAUCGAAGACGAUCAGAUACCGUCGUAGUCUUAACCAUAAACUAUGCCGACUAGGGAUCGGGCGAUGUUAUCUUUUUGACUCGCUCGGCACCUUACGAGAAAUCAAAGUUUUUGGGUUCUGGGGGGAGUAUGG